CCCCUCUCAGGGUCGCACCUGGAGAGUUUUCAGUACUCUACCAGUCUUGGCUAUGGGAGGGAGAGUCAGGCAGAGGCACACCCGUUCCAUUCCUAGCUUGGCCAGUGGUUAGUGAGUGGAAGGCAAUCUCCUACAAGU
rnacentral:snoRNA from 1 species